UAGCCAGACUCCUACGGGAGGCAGCAGUGGGGGAUAUUGCACAAUGGGGGAAACCCUGAUGCAGCGACGCCGCGUGAGUGAAGAAGUAUUUCGGUAUGUAAAGCUCUAUCAGCAGGGAAGAAGAUGACAGUACCUGAGUAAGAAGCCCCAGCUAACUACGUGCCAGCAGCCGCGGUAAUACGUAGGGGGCAAGCGUUAUCCGGAUUUACUGGGGGUAAAGGGAGCGUAGACGGUUAUGUAAGUCUGGAGUGAAAGCCCGGGGCCCACCCCCGGGACUGCUGUGGAAACUGUGUAACUAGAGUACAGGAGGGGCAGGCGGAAUUCCUGGUGUAGCGGUGAAAUGCAUAGAUAUCACGCAGAACUCCGAUUGCGAAGGCAGCUUACUAAGCCAUAACUGACACUGAAGCACGAAAGCGUGGGUAUCGAACAGGAUUAGAUACCCGCGUACAC
rnacentral:rRNA from 1 species